GAGAAGGUAUAAAUGGGCAGUGCACAGGGCCCAACUUUACUAAUCAACCCUAAAAUCAACAUUUAACCCGUUGGGUUUUAAAGUCUUUAAAGUAUAUAUCCAGUAUAACUCACGUUUUUUGAGGAGAGCUUGUCUAUCUCCCCCCCGUCUCCCCA